AUAAAACUUCAAGUUGGAAACAAAAUUUAUUAAACUUCAAACAAAUACAUAAUACGUAAUAUAUAAUUUCGUUUCAUAAUACGUAUGCAUUUGUUUGAAGUUUAAUAAAUUUUGUUUCCAACUUGAAGUU